rnacentral:rRNA from 1 species
AUUGAACGCUGGCGGCAUGCUUUACACAUGCAAGUCGAACGGUAACAGGCCGCAAGGUGCUGACGAGUGGCGAACGGGUGAGUAAUGCAUCGGAACGUGCCCAGUCGUGGGGGAUAACUACUCGAAAGAGUAGCUAAUACCGCAUACGAUCUAUGGAUGAAAGCGGGGGACCGUAAGGCCUCGCGCGAUUGGAGCGGCCGAUGGCAGAUUAGGUAGUUGGUGGGGUAAAGGCUCACCAAGCCAACGAUCUGUAGCUGGUCUGAGAGGACGACCAGCCACACUGGGACUGAGACACGGCCCAGACUCCUACGGGAGGCAGCAGUGGGGAAUUUUGGACAAUGGGCGCAAGCCUGAUCCAGCAAUGCCGCGUGCAGGAAGAAGGCCUUCGGGUUGUAAACUGCUUUUGUACGGAACGAAACGGCUCUGGUUAAUACCCGGGGCUAAUGACGGUACCGUAAGAAUAAGCACCGGCUAACUACGUGC